AAUCAAUAAGCGGAGGAAAAGAAACCAACAGGGAUUGCCCCAGUAACGGCGAGUGAAGCGGCAACAGCUCAGAUUUGAAAUCUGCCCUCGCGGGCCGAGUUGUAAUCUGUAGAGGAUGCUUCUGGCAAGGCGCCGUCCGAGUUCCCUGGAACGGGACGCCGGAGAGGGUGAGAGCCCCGUACAGGCGGACGCCGAGCCUCUGUGAAGCUCCUUCGACGAGUCGAGUAGUUUGGGAAUGCUGCUCAAAGCGGGAGGUACAUUUCUUCUAAAGCUAAAUAUAGGCCAGAGACCGAUAGCGCACAAGUAGAGUGAUCGAAAGAUGAAAAGCACUUUGAAAAGAGGGUUAAAAAGCACGUGAAAUUGUUGAAAGGGAAGCGCCUGUGACCAGACUCGCGCCCGGCGGAUCAUCCGGCGUUCUCGCCGGUGCACUCCGCCGGGCUCGGGCCAGCAUCGGUCCUGGCGGGGGGAUAAAGGCGGCGGGGAUGUGGCUCCCUCCGUGGAGUGUUAUAGCCCGCCGCUCAAUGCCCCCGCCGGGACCGAGGACCGCGCAUUCGCAAGGAUGCUGGCGUAAUGGUCACCAGCGACCCGUCUUGAAACACGGACCAAGGAGUCAAGCAUUAGGGCGAGUGUUUGGGUGUAAAACCCGCACGCGAAAUGAAAGUGAACGUAGGUGGGAGCCUCGGCGCACCAUCGACCGAUCCUGAAGUCUUCGGAUGGAUUUGAGUAAGAGCCUUACCGCUUGGACCCGAAAGAUGGUGAACUAUGCUUGUGUAGGGUGAAGCCAGAGGAAACUCUGGUGGAGGCUCGCAGCGGUUCUGACGUGCAAAUCGAUCGUCAAACAUGAGCAUGGGGGCGAAAGACUAAUCGAACCAUCUAGUAGCUGGUUACCGCCGAAGUUUCCCUCAGGAUAGCAGUGUUGUUUUCAGUUUUAUGAGGUAAAGCGAAUGAUUAGGGACUCGGGGGCGCUAUUUAGCCUUCAUCCAUUCUCAAACUUUAAAUAUGUAAGAAGCCCUUGUUGCUUAAUUGAACGUGGGCAUUCGAAUGUAUCAACACUAGUGGGCCAUUUUUGGUAAGCAGAACUGGCGAUGCGGGAUGAACCGAACGCGGGGUUAAGGUGCCGGAGUGGACGCUCAUCAGACACCACAAAAGGUGUUAGUACAUCCAGACAGCAGGUAAGCUCUAAACACCCAUUUUACUAACAACCCUCUCUCUCCCCCCCCCCCCUCACGACAACUUUUGGAUAAUUUGAACUAACAAGAUGUAUCUAGGACGGUGGCCAUGGAAGUCGGAAUCCGCUAAGGACUGUGUAACAACUCACCUGCCGAAUGUACUAGCCCUGAAAAUGGAUGGCGCUCAAGCGUCCCACCCAUACCCCGCCCCCGGAGUAGAAACGACGCUCCGGGGAGUAGGCGGCCGCGGGGGAGGUGAC
rnacentral:rRNA from 1 species